UAGGCAGUCCAGCUGGUGGAAAGCAUAUCGGUGCUCUGUUGCAAAUGAGGUGGCGUAUUUAAGACCAUACUUUUGCAUGCUGUUAAGCAAACUUCCAGUAAAAUCCUUCAGCUCAAGGCCUUUUAACAAUUCUGUAAUGGGGAGAGAGCUUUGCAUUGUUGAGCUUGAAGUUCAGCCUAACAAGCAUUUGGUGGUUGCCACAAGCCAUCUUGAAAGUCCCUGCCCUGCGCCUCCAACAUGGGAUCAGAUGUUCAGCAAGGAACGUGUAGAUCAGGUGACGGAGGCCACCGACUUUCUCAAGAAGAAUCCAAAUGUGAUUUUUGGAGGGGACAUGAACUGGGAUGACGAGUUAGAUGGUCAGUUUCCUCUACCUGAUGGAUGGGUUGAUGCGUGGACAGAGUUAAGACCAGGGGACAAUGGAUGGACGUAUGAUACCAUGUCCAAUCGGAUGUUGUCAGGGAACCGAACAUUGCAAAA
rnacentral:misc_RNA from 1 species